rnacentral:rRNA from 1 species
AUUGAACGCUGGCGGAAUGCUUUACACAUGCAAGUCGAACGGUAGAGGGGGCAACCCCUUGAGAGUGGCGAACGGGUGAGUAAUGUAUCGGAACGUGCCCAGUCGUGGGGGAUAACGUAGUGAAAAUUACGCUAAUACCGCAUAUGAUCUAUGGAUGAAAGCGGGGGAUCGCAAGACCUCGCGCGAUUGGAGCGGCCGAUAUCAGAUUAGGUAGUUGGUAGGGUAAAGGCCUACCAAGCCAACGAUCUGUAGCUGGUCUGAGAGGACGACCAGCCACACUGGAACUGAGACACGGUCCAGACUCCUACGGGAGGCAGCAGUGGGGAAUUUUGGACAAUGGGCGAAAGCCUGAUCCAGCCAUUCCGCGUGCAGGAUGAAGGCCCUCGGGUUGUAAACUGCUUUUGUACAGAACGAAAAGGUUUCUAUUAAUACUAGGAGCUCAUGACGGUACUGUAAGAAUAAGCACCGGCUAACUACGUGCCAGCCGCCGCGGUAA